GUGCCAGCCGCCGCGGUAAUACGGAGGGUGCGAGCGUUGUCCGGAAUCAUUGGGCGUAAAGGGCGCGUAGGUGGCCCGGUCAGUCCGUGGUGAAAGCGCGGGGCUCAACCCUGCGUCGGCCAUGGAUACUGCCGCGGCUCGAGCACUGUAGAGGCAGGCGGAAUUCCGGGUGUAGCGGUGGAAUGCGUAGAGAUCCGGAAGAACACCGGUGGCGAAGGCGGCCUGCUGGGCAGUAUGGCUGACACUGAGGCGCGACAGCGUGGGGAGCAAACAGGAUUAGAUACCCUUGUAGUCC
rnacentral:rRNA from 1 species